rnacentral:rRNA from 1 species
AUUGAACGCUGGCGGCAGGCCUAAUACAUGCAAGUCGAACGAGUGGCGGACUGGUGAGUAAUUCUUGGAAAUCUAGCUUAUGGAGGGGGCUAACUACGGUAAACCGUAGCAAAAACCGCGUACCAUAGGAUGAGCUCAAGUGGGAUUAGGUAGUUGGUGAGGUAAAGGCUCACCAAGCCGACGAGCCCUAGCUGGUCGGAGAGGAAGAGCGGCCACACUGGGACUGAGACACGGCCCAGACUCCGACGGGAGGCAGCAGUGGGGAAUAUUGCGCAAUGGGGGAAACCUGACGGAGCCAUGCCGCGUGAAUGAAGAAGGCCUUCGGGUUGUAAAGUUCUGUCGGUAGCGAGGCGUUAACUACAGAAGAAGCACCGGCUAACUCCGUGCCAGCCGCCGCGGUAAUUC